UGGGGAAUAUUGCACAAUGGGCGAAAGCCUGAUGCAGCAACGCCGCGUGAGUGAUGAAGGUCUUCGGAUUGUAAAGCACUUUCGACGGGGACGAUGAUGACGGUACCCGUAGAAGAAGCCCCGGCUAACUUCGUGCCAGCAGCCGCGGUAAUACGAAGGGGGCUAGCGUUGCUCGGAAUGACUGGGCGUAAAGGGCGUGUAGGCGGUUUACACAGUCAGAUGUGAAAUCCCCGGGCUUAACCUGGGAGCUGCAUUUGAUACGUGUAGACUAGAGUGUGAGAGAGGGUUGUGGAAUUCCCAGUGUAGAGGUGAAAUUCGUAGAUAU
rnacentral:rRNA from 1 species